rnacentral:rRNA from 1 species
AACGAACGCUGGCGGCGCGUCUUAAGCAUGCAAGUCGAGCGGCAAGCGGUAGCAAUAUCGCCUAGAGCGGCGGACUGGUGAGUAACACGUGGGUGAUCUGCCUCUGGGAUGGGGAUAGCCUGUGGAAACACAGGAAAAUACCGAACACGUUGGCUGGGCUGCGGCCCAGUCAGGAAAGGUCCGUUUGGACCGCCCGGAGAUGAGCCUGCGGCUGAGUAGCUAGUUGGCGGGGUAAUGGCCCACCAAGGCGAUGAUCAGUAGGCGGCCUGAGAUGGUGGACGCCCACAUUGGGACUGAGAUACGGCCCAAACUCCUACGGGAGGCAGCAGCUAAGAAUAUUCCGCAAUGGACGAAAGUCUGACGGAGCGACGCCGCGUGGAUGACGAAGGCCGAAAGGUUGUAAAAUCCUUUUGCUGGUGAAGAAUAAGCAUGGGAGGAAAUGCCCGUGUGAUGACAUGAACCGGUGAAUAAGCCCCGGCAAACUACGUGCCAGCCGCCGCAGUAA